rnacentral:rRNA from 1 species
UACGUAGGGGGCAAGCGUUGUCCGGAAUCAUUGGGCGUAAAGCGCGUGUAGGCGGUUCGGUAAGUCUGCUGUGAAAGUCCAGGGCUCAACCCUGGGAUGCCGGUGGAUACUGUCGGACUAGAGUACGGAAGAGGCGAGUGGAAUUCCCGGUGUAGCGGUGAAAUGCGCAGAUAUCGGGAGGAACACCAAUUGCGAAGGCGGAUCUCUGGGCCAUUACUGACGCUGAGGAGCGAAAGCGUGGGGAGCGAACAGG